rnacentral:rRNA from 1 species
GACGAACGCUGGCGGCAUGCCUAAUACAUGCAAGUCGAACGCGACCAUCCGGUGCUUGCACUGGUGAAGUCGAGUGGCGAACGGGUGAGUAACACGUGAGAAACCUACCCUGGAGUGGGGAAUAACUCGAAGAAAUUCGAGCUAAUACCGCAUACCUUCUUACCGCCGAAUGGUGGUUUGAAGAAAGAUUUAUCGCUCUGGGAGGGUCUCGCGGCCUAUCAGCUAGUUGGUGAGGUAACGGCUCACCAAGGCAUCGACGGGUAGCUGGUCUGAGAGGACGAUCAGCCACACUGGAACUGAGACACGGUCCAGACUCCUACGGGAGGCAGCAGUAGGGAAUCUUGCGCAAUGGGCGAAAGCCUGACGCAGCAAUGCCGCGUGCGGGACGAAGGCCCUAGGGUCGUAAACCGCUUUCAGUAGGGACGAAAAUGACGGUACCUGCAGAAGAAGCUCCGGCCAACUACGUGCCAGCAGCCGCGGUAAU